rnacentral:lncRNA from 1 species
CGCGUUCACUAGGAUUUUGCUCUCAGCAGGGACGUCGUAGCCUCCAAGCUUGGCGUCGUGAAGGUUCAUGUGCGGCACAAGAAGAGGAAUUGCCAUCCUAAGGCGAAGAGUUUCCUUGAUCACGGCCUGAAGGUAGGGUAGUUUGUGGGUGUCAGGCUCAGUGAUUUGAUGACCAGGACCAAGCACGGUGUCAAGUUCAUUGCGGAGCUUCUUCUGGAUUUCAGGAUGAUUCACUAGCUCUGCAAUUCCCCACUCGAUCGACCAAAGAGUUGUCUCGAUCGCUGUCAUAUAUUUAUGUACAAAUGAAAAUUAAUCAGAUCAUGAUUUUUGACAUAUUUGUAUCUACUAAUUAGGACGGGUCCAAAUUCUUGACUUUGAAGCCACAUUAGACAGAAGUUAGGUGAUCAAUUAAUAUUUAUAUAUAUUUGAAAUCACAUUAGACAGAAGUUAGGUGAUCAAUUAAUAUUUAUAUGUAUUGAAAUCAAAUCAUAGGAUCCGAAACUGAUUAACAUUAAACAGGGAGCUUAAAUAUAUACUUGCAUUAUUAGUUCACCAACUUACUCAAGCAUAUGAUUGUUGCUUGUGGAAAUAUCAAAUAAACAGGGAGCUUAAAUGUAUACUUGCAUUAUUAGUUCACCAACUUACUCAAGCAUAUGAUUGUUGCUUGUGGAAAUAUCAUGUUAUCUGUGAGUUGUCACCCAUGACAACUCUUUUAUUUUAUAUGCUCCAAUUUUUUUAUCUGAAUGACAACUUAGAAUUACUGUAUAUAAGAUAUUAUGUACCAUAGCAUGACUUAUGUUAUUCUUUUAAAAAAUUAAUCAAAUUGGCUUUUUGGAAAAGUCAAAGGCUAGUUUGACCCGGCCAAAAGUUGGACUUUAGUAUUUUCAUCUUUUUCACCAGUAAAGAAGAAAGCAUUGAAUUGCUUGGCCAAAAAUAUACAUACAUACAUACAUAUAUAUAUAUAUAUAUAUAUAUAUAUAUAUAUAUAUAUAUGGUGAUUGUUAAGUUACAUGAUCAUAUAAUUUACGUCAAUUCAACAUUUUCUACCACUGACAUAAAAGUAUAAAUAACAAAAAUCAAAUGUGUGUUAAUGAUAGUAAGUGUUGGAUUGAUAUAAGUUACAUAAUUAUUUAACUUAACAACCACCUAUACAUAAAUAUCCAUAUAUAUAAAGUAGGCUAUCUCUAAUAUAAAUAAUAGAGAGGGACUAAGUUACGUGCCCCUCAAGGGUACAGUACUCAUAGUAGGCCCGGAUAUUAUAAUAGGCCCGAAUAUUAUAACUGUGAGAGGACCGCAAGUUAACCUAAAUAAUAUAAUAAUUAAUGGUAUUGAUGUUGACAGCGUUUUGGGCAAAAGAGUUAAGGAUUUUUUUUUUUUUGAAAAGAGUUAAGGAUUAAGACCGAUAAAAUCAGCUGAUCAAAUGCAUGAUUUGAUACAUUUUUCUUACCUAAACCUCUUUUGCUUUUCUUCCGGAAUCAUUACCUUCUAAUUAAUUAAUUAAUAAACCAAUGAGAAUAUACUGCCUUGAAAAAAAUUAAAAAAAUGAUAACUUCACUGAAUCCCACUCCACAAAAAAAUCGUCUAGUGGAUAAUUAAAAAGUAUAAGAAGCUUCUUUACGCUACCACCGUAUUAUAUAAUAUAGUGAUUGGAUGUGUGAACGUGGUUUUUAAAAAAUCUAAAAAUUAUCAUAAGAAUUAAAAAAAUAGAAAUUACUAAUAAUUUAUAGUACAACCUAUAUCAUUGAAUUUGUUUUUUAAAAUAAAUAAAAAAAGUAAACAUGAUUUCCAAGUUUAUCAACCUAUUUACUAUUUAGUUGCACGUGUAUUCUCAAAGUUGAGAUAGAGACCAACAAUUGUAAUUUUCAAUUAAUUUAUUCUUUUUAGCUGACAUCUUUGAAAAAAAAAAAUGAAAGAAAUAAAUAUCCGGUGCUCUUAGCUUAUGUCAUUUGUAGAAGAAAUAAAUACAUCUGACAAAGGCCUUAAACUAUUUUAUGAGGCGACAUUUAAACUACGCAAUCAAUCAAGUUUUUUAAUCCAAUUUCAAGGGACCAAAAUACCGUUUCGUGUAAAACAGAUUCACGUAAUCAUCUAAAUUUUUUUUGUAAAUUUGGAGUAUAAAUUAAUUAAUUAAUUAGAUGAACAUACCGGCAACAUUGAUGUUCUCAACGAUGUAUAGAACGUUGUCCUCGUUGAUUUCUCCCUUUGUCUGAGCGUCCAAAAUAUGAUCGAUUGCGCAUUUCAAGCUUUCAUUACUCAUGCUCUUCGUGCUUGCCAAUUUCCUGCCAAUAAAAAUUAAUCACGUCAAUUGAAUAAUCAAAUAACGGCAAUAAAAAAUAUCUACAAUAAAAAUCAAUGUCAACGUAAGCAAUUCUUUCGUUGGGCCAUGGACAGAAUGACCGCUGAUUUUGUUUUCAAAACAUAAAUAGAAACCGACAGAAACUAGAUCCCCGUCGAAGCAAGGGAUAAGGAUAACGUGUCAGACAAAACGGUCACGGAAUAUUUAUUUAUUUUAAAAAUAAUUAUUAUGUCAUUAAUUGAUUACGACGCCCCACCGUUGAUUAUUAUUUCUUUUUUUUAUUUUCGUAAAUAAAUGAUUUAAAUUUUAAACUACACAAUUAUAUUAAUUUUUACUUUUAUUUACAAUUUAAAAAUUAAAAAAAGACCAGAAAAAUCAGAGAUCAUAAUCCCACAAAUAAAGUUGAAUGUGAGAUUUUCAAAUAGUUAUUUUUAUAAUAUUAAUACUUAAAUUAGAUUUAAAAAAUAAAAAGAGACUUAAAACGAAAAAGAGAUUCUGAAAACAAAAAGAUUUUGGACACCGUUUUGCGAAAAAAAAUCUCGUACGGAAACAAAAAGGAAAAUUAAGAAAAAAGUAAAUUAAAGAAAAGAGAAAAGCGUACUUUCUCUCCUCAACAAAGUAGUCCUUGAAGAGCUGGAGUCUCCUUUCUUUAACUUCCUUACAAAUCUUCAAGUAGCCUCUCAAGAAAGGUCUCAAAAUGGGAAUAAAAUCACCGUAAUUGUACUCAAAGCUCUGGGCCAACCGACUCCUCUCACCAUUCAAAGCCUUUAAUCUGUUAAACAAAGGAUCAUCCUGACUCUCGAAUCUUCUAUCAAACAUAAUCCUGUACAUGUUGUUGUACAUCAUAAGCUGCAGCCGCCUCCUCAAGACGAUCCCAUUGGUCGCCGCCUCGGGGUCCUUCUUAACAUCCUCAACGACUCUAGCGGCCUCGUCUUCCCAAUUAAACCGCUGCUGCUGAACCACUUUGUUCGUGAAGAAAGGGACGGUCAUGAUCCUCCGCAUCUUCCGCCAGUGCUCGCCGUACACUGUGAACACCAUGUCCUGGCCCUUCCCAGUGAAGAUAUCGAACACGACGUUCCUCGUUCGUGAUCCGAACUCCACUCCCUGCGUGUGCAGAACCUCCUUGGCG